rnacentral:rRNA from 1 species
AGCUCCAAUAGCGUAUAUUAAAGAUGUUGCGGUUGACAAGUUUGUAGUUGGAUUUCUGCCGAGGACGGCCGGUCCGCCCUCUGGGUGAGUAUCUGGCUUGGCCUGGGCAUCUUCUUGGAGAACGCAGGUGCACUUGACUAUGCGGUGCGGUAUCCAGGACUUCUACUUUGAGGAAAUUAGAGUGUCUCAAGCAGGCAUGCGCCUUGAAUACAUUAGCAUGGAAUAAAAGAUAGGACCUCGGUUCUAUUUUGUUGGUUCCUAGAGCUGAGGUAAUGAUUAAUAGUGAUAGUUGCGGGCAUUCGUAUCUAACUGUCAGAGGUGAAAAUCUUGGAAUUGUUAAAGACGGACUACUGCGAAAGCAUUUGCCAUUUUGUUUCCA